AAGGUGGAAAAAAACUUAGCAUAAAAUGAAGCAUCCCAGCCUCAAGUUUCAGCUGUGCCACUAACCAACGUAAUAAUACAGUUGAGUCAGGACUCUGGCCCUACGAGUUUCCUCAUCUCUGAAAACCUGCUAAAAAACUUCAUACUCUAUUAAAAGGAAUGCAAGGCUUCUAAAUCAGGAUUGCACAUCUAAGCCACUAUUGCACCAACUUGCGUAGCUCUAGCUACGUCAACACCUUAACUACCACUGGGGAACCGUUAAUAGCUCCUGGGCUCCUAUGUGGACUGCUGCCAGGUCUCCUCCUUCCACUGCUGCCCAGAUGACAGACCAUGUUUCCUGUCCUUUUGUCCCUCCAAGAGGAGCCAAGAACAGGUAUGGCCUUUAAAAGUCAUGUGAGUCAACAAGUAGACUUGAACUAAGAUUCCACAUCAUGCACUUUGCACCCAGCUAUCAUUUGUAAAUAUUUACACAUCGCUCGACAUUCUGGUAUUGGGCAGCCAAAGCCAAAGAAGAUACCAACAAAGUGAAUUAAAUAUGAGAAGCUGACAAAAGAUUAUAGUUAUCAUUAAUAACUUUGGAUUUCAAAAACUUUUUAGUUUGUCAGAGCAUUAUGUCUCUAGUUGUAUAAAGUUAUAUAUUUGAACUUCUCAAAAAUAUGAAAAAAUUAUUUUCUAAUAAAAUUGCCCUUUAACUUCUUGUA